GUAGGGUGCAAGCGUUGUUCGGAAUUAUUGGGCGUAAAGAGCGUGUAGGUGGUUAGGUAAGUUGGGUGUGAAAUCCCUCGGCUCAACCGAGGAAGUGCAUCCAAAACUGCCCAACUUGAGGGUGGCAGAGGGAGGUGGAAUUCCUAGUGUAGAGGUGAAAUUCGUAGAUAUUAGGAGGAAUACCAGUGGCGAAGGCGGCCUCCUGGACCAUUCCUGACACUGAGACGCGAAAGCGUGGGUAGCAAACAGGAUUAGAUACCCUGGUAGUCCACGCCGUAAACGAUGGGUACUAGAUGUUGCGGGAAUUGACCCCUUGCAGUGUCGCAGCUAACGCAAUAAGUACCCCGCCUGGGAAGUACGGUCGCAAGAUUA
rnacentral:rRNA from 1 species